GGCCGAGCGAAGAUGGCGGCCUCCAGAGCCAGCCUCUGAGGGAGGCAGGAGAGUUUGAGAGGGAGCGGCUCCAGCCCAGCCCGGGAGAACCCGCUUGGCAGCGACUGAAGCAGCUCCAGGUGCUGCUGCUGGCUCGUGGCGUGUCUUUGCAGCGAGGUUUGGGGGGGCUGGUUAGCGCUGCUCCCCGGGCAGAUUCUGGCACAAAAUGAAUAUCAUUAGGGAAAAUAAAGAUUUGGCCUGUUUCUACACAACAAAACAUUCAUGGAGGGGAAAGUAUAAACGAGUAUUUUCAGUUGGAACUCAUGCCAUCACAACAUACAACCCUAACACAUUAGAUGUUACAAAUCAGUGGCCUUAUGGAGACAUCUGUAGCAUCAGCCCUGUUGGAAAAGGUCAAGGAGCAGAAUUCAACCUAACAUUUCGAAAGGGAAGUGGGAAAAAGUCUGAAACACUCAAGUUUUCUACUGAACACAGAACAGAACUCCUUACAGAAGCCCUGAGAUUCAGAACUGAUUUUGCUGAAGGAAAAAUCACAGGAAGGAGAUACAACUGUUAUAAGCACCACUGGAGUGAUUCAAGAAAACCUGUAAUCCUAGAAGUAACUCCUGGAGGCGUAGACCAAAUUAAUCCUGUAACAAAUAAAGUCCUGUGUUCAUAUGACUACAGAAAUAUUGAAGGAUUUGUUGAUUUGUCUGAUUAUCCAGGAGGUUUCUGUAUACUUUAUGGAGGAUUUAGUAGGCUACAUUUAUUUGCUUCUGAACAAAGGGAAGACAUUAUCAAAAGUGCAAUAGACCAUGCUGGCAAUUAUGUUGGCAUUUCCUUGAGGAUAAGGAAAGAACCAUUAGAAUUUGAGCAAUAUUUGACUCUUCGCUUUGGGAAAUACAGCAAUGAUGAAUCUAUUACAUCUUUAGCAGAGUUUGUGGUCCAAAAAAUAUCUCCUAGGCAUUCGGAACCAAUGAAAAGGAUAUUGGCUCUUACAGAAACUUGUUUAGUGGAACGUGAUCCAGCUACAUACAAUAUUACAACAUUGAAACCCUUAGGAGAGGUAUUUGCGCUAGUGUGUGAUUCUGAAAACCCACAACUUUUUACCAUAGAAUUUAUCAAGGGACAAAUCCGAAAAUAUUCUUCAACAGAGAGGGAUUCACUGUUAGCCAGUUUGCUGGAUGGUGUGAGAGCCUCUGGCAAUAGAGACGUCUGUGUGAAAAUGACACCAACAGACAAAGGCCAGCGGUGGGGCCUUUUGAGCAUGCCAGUGGAUGAGGAAGUUGAAAGCCUGCAUCUAAGGUUCUUGGCAGCACCUCCAAAUGGGAACUUUGCAGAUGCUGUCUUUAGGUUCAAUUCUAACAUAUCAUACAGUGGAGUUCUGCAUGCAGUGACACAAGACGGUCUGUUUUCAGAAAACAAAGAAAAGCUCAUAAAUAAUGCCAUAACUGCAUUACUUUCUCAAGAAGGUGACCUUACAGCAUCUACUGCAGAACUUGAAAGCCAGUUCCAAGCUGUUAGAAGAUUAGUUGCCUCCAAAGCUGGAUUCCUUGCUUUCACUCAACUUCCAAAAUUCCGAGAGCGCCUGGGUGUGAAGGUAGUGAAGGCUCUUAAGAAGAACAAUGAUGGAGUAACUCAUGCUUCCAUUGAUAUGCUUUGUGCCCUCAUGUGUCCUAUGCAUGAUGACUAUGACCUGAGGCAAGAACAGCUAAACAAAGCAUCCCUUCUUUCUUCAAAGAAGUUCUUAGAAAACUUACUGGAGAAAUUUAAUUUGCAUGUGGAAUAUGGAACAGGUGCCCUUGUUAUAAGUUCACUGCUGGACUUCCUUACUUUUGCCCUUUGUGCUCCGUAUAGUGAGACGACAGAAGGACAACAGUUUGAUAUGUUACUGGAGAUGGUUGCAUCUAAUGGGAGAACCCUCUUCAAGCUCUUUCAGCACCCUUCCAUGGCCAUUGUGAAAGGUGCUGGUUUGGUUAUGAAGGCAAUAAUAGAGGAGGGGGAUAAAGAGAUAGCAACCAAAAUGCAAGACCUUGCCCUGAGUGAAGGUGCCUUACCUCGUCAUUUGCACACUGCUAUGUUUACAAUAAGCACUGAUCAAAGAAUGCUUACAAAUAGACAGCUGAGCAGACAUCUAGUGGGCCUUUGGACAGCUGAAAAUAUAACUGCUUUAAACUUGUUGAAGCGUAUUUUGCCAGCAGGCUUGCUUUUAUUCCUGGACAGUGAUGAACCUGUUCCUGAAAAGGAUUCUGAUCGGAUGCAUAUUAGGGAUAACUUAAAAAUUGCAAAUGAUCAAUAUGGCAAAUUUAAUAAAGUACCAGAGUGGCAAAGACUUGCAGGAAAAGCUGCAAAAGAAGUUGAAAAAUUUGCGAAAGAGAAAGUGGAUUUGGUUUUGAUGCACUGGAGAGACAAAAUGGGAAUAGCACAGAAAGAGGACAGAAACAAUAUGAAUAUUAAUCAAAAGCCAGUAAUACUGAGGAAACGAAGGCAGAGAAUAAAAAUAAAAGCAAAUUGGGAUCUCUUCUAUUACAGAUUUCUUCAAGAUCAUGCUAGAUCUAAUUUGAUUUGGAAUUUCAAAACACGGGAAGAGUUAAGAGAUACCUUGGAGUCUGAAAUGCGAGCCUUUCAGAUUGAUAGAGAACUUGGCAGUGCAAAUGUCAUUUCCUGGAAUCACCAUGAAUUUGAGGUGAAGUAUGAGUGCCUGUCAGAGGAAAUAAAAAUAGGGGAUUAUUACUUGAGAUUGCUGUUGGAAGAAGAUGAAAAUGAAGAAAGUGGAGCAAUAAAAAAAUCGUAUGAAUUUUUCAAUGAACUGUACCAUCGUUUCUUGCUGACUCCUAAAAUAAACAUGAAAUGCCUUUGCUUGCAAGCCCUGGCCAUUGUUUAUGGAAGAUGCUAUGAAGAGAUAGGUCCCUUUGGUGACACUAGAUAUAUUGUAGGGAUGUUGGAAAGGUGUGCUGAUAGAGUUGAGCGGGACCGACUGAUUCUGUUCCUUAACAAACUGAUUCUUAACAAGAAAAAUGUCAAGGAGCUCAUGGAUUCAAAUGGCAUCAAAAUCCUUGUGGACCUUCUCACUCUGGCCCAUCUGCACAUGAGCAGGGCAACUGUACCACUGCAAAGCAAUGUCAUUGAAGCAGCGCCUGAUAUGAAGAGGGAGAGUGAAAAAGAGUGGUAUUUUGGCAAUGCAGACAAAGAGAGGAGUGGUCCUUACAGUUUUAAUGAGAUGCAAGAAUUGUGGACUGAAGGGAAGCUGACUUCAAAAACGCGCUGCUGGGCACAGGGCAUGGAUGGGUGGCGCCCUUUGCAGGCUAUUCCCCAGCUAAAGUGGUGUCUGCUGGCCACUGGACAGGCAGUGCUUAAUGAGACUGAUCUUGCUACCCUUAUUCUCAACAUGCUGGUCACAAUGUGUAGCUACUUCCCCAGCAGAGAUCAGGAUAAUGCCAUCAUUAGGCCUUUACCCAGAGUAAAGAGGCUUCUUUCUGACAGCACCUGCCUUCCUCAUAUAAUCCAGCUGUUGCUGACUUUUGACCCCAUUCUUGUUGAGAAAGUUGCCAUAUUGCUUUUCUACAUCAUGCAAGACAACCCUCAGCUACCUCGUCUUUAUCUCAGUGGAGUAUUUUUCUUCAUUAUGAUGUACACUGGUUCCAAUGUACUCCCUGUUGCAAGAUUUCUGAAGUAUACACAUUCGAAACAGGCUUUCAAGGCUGAGGAGACAAAAGGACAAGAUAUAGUUCAAAGAAGUAUUCUUGGACACAUCUUACCAGAAGCUAUGGUGUGCUAUUUAGAAAACUAUGAAUCAGAAAAAUUUUCUGAAAUAUUUUUGGGUGAAUUUGAUACUCCAGAAGCUAUUUGGAGCAAUGAAAUGAGGCGCCUUAUGAUAGAGAAGAUAGCUGCUCAUCUUGCUGACUUCACUCCUCGUCUUCAGAGUAAUACAAGGGCACUUUACCAGUACUGCCCCAUACCAAUUAUAAACUACCCUCAACUGGAAAAUGAGCUGUUUUGUAACAUUUAUUACCUCAGACAUCUUUGUGACAAGCUUCGGUUUCCUGACUGGCCAAUUAAAGAUCCUGUUAAGCUCCUUAAAGACACUCUAGAAGCUUGGAAGAAGGAAGUGGAGAAGAAAGCACCUACCAUGUCAAUAGAUGAUGCAUAUGAAGUCCUCCAUCUUCCAAAGGGACAAGGACAGCAUGAUGAAAGCAAGAUCAGAAAAGCUUAUUUCAGACUGGCUCAAAAGUAUCACCCUGACAAGAAUCCAGAAGGUCGAGAUAUGUUUGAAAAAGUGAAUAAAGCAUAUGAAUUUCUGUGUACAAAGUCAGCUAAAAUAGUGGAUGGCCCAGAUCCUGAGAAUAUAAUUUUGAUUUUGAAAGCUCAAAGCAUCCUUUUCAACAGACACAAAGAAGAUUUGAAGCCUUAUAAAUAUGCAGGUUAUCCUAUGUUGAUUAAGACAAUCACAAUAGAAACCUCAGAUGACCUUUUGUUCUCCAAAGAGUCUCCUCUGUUGCCGGCUGCUACUGAAUUAGCUUUCCACACUGUCAACUGUUCAGCUCUUAAUGCAGAAGAACUAAGAAGAGAAAAUGGAAUAGAGAUUUUGCAAGAGGCUUUCAAUCGAUGUGUUGCAGUCCUGACACGUUCUAGUAAGCCAGAUGACAUGUCAGUCCAGGUGUGUGGACAUAUAAGUAAAUGUUAUAGCGUGGCUGCUCAGUUUGAGGAUUGCAGAGAGAAAAUAACUGAAAUGCCAAAUAUCAUCAAGGACCUCUGUAGAGUGCUGUACCAUGGCAAGAACCUUCCACGUGUGGCUUCCCUGGGAGUAGAAUGUGUCAGCUCAUUUGCCGUGGAUUUCUGGCUACAGACACAUCUGUUCCAAGCUGGAGUUCUGUGGCAUUUACUAGGCUACCUCUUCAAUUAUGAUUACACACUGGAAGAGAGUGGUAUUCAGAAGAGUGAAGAUUCCAAUCAGCAGGAAGUAGCCAAUACCCUUGCCAAACUCAGCCUCCUGGCUUUGAGCCGCCUGGGUGGAUACCGUCUUGGAGAACAAGCUACACCUGAAAACCCAACCAUCAGAAAAAGCCUUGCAGGCAUGCUGACCCCUUAUAUUGCAAGGAAACUUGCUGUGAUUAAUCCUACUGAGAUUCUGAAAAUGCUCAACAGCAACACUGAGAACCCUUAUCUGAUUUGGAACAAUCGGACGAGAGCUGAACUCCUUGAAUUCUUGGAAUCUCAGCAGGAAAGCAUGAUUAAAAGAGGCGACUGUGAUAAAAGCUAUGGAUCAGAAUUUGUCUUCAGUGAUCAUGCAAAAGAACUUAUUGUAGGAGAAAUUUUUGUUAGAGUUUACAAUGAAGUCCCCACAUUCCAGCUAGAGCUUCCAAAAGCAUUUGCUGCAAGUCUUUUGGAUUAUAUCGGCUCACAGGCACAGUACCUUCAUACACUGAUGGCCAUGACUCAGACAGGAAAAGUUGAGUCUAACCAACAUGGAGAAAGACUCAGAAGAGUUGAAAUGGCUUUGGAGGCUCUGAGGAAUGUAAUAAAACACAAUCCAGGUUCAGAAUGCGAAUGCAUAGGUCACUUUAAGUUAAUAUUCUCCCUUCUGCGCGUCCAUGGGGCUGGUCAGGUGCAACAACUGGCUUUGGAGGUGGUGAACAUAGUGACUAGCAACCAGGAAUGUGUAAAUAAUAUUGCAGAAGCAAUGGUUCUUUCCAACUUAUUAGCUCUCCUGCAUUCUCUACCUUCAAGUCGGCAGCUUGUGCUUGAAACAUUAUAUGCUUUGACAUCCAGUACCAAGAUAGUUAAGGAGGCCAUGGCAAAAGGUGCUUUAAUCUACUUACUGGAUAUGUUCUGCAACUCAACACAUCCACAAGUUCGAUCUCAGACAGCAGAGCUUUUUGCUAAAAUGACAGCGGACAAGCUGGUUGGUCCAAAGGUUAGAAUUAUCCUAAUGAAGUUUCUACCUGGUGUCUUUAUGGAUGCCAUGAGAGAUAAUCCUGAAGCUGCUGUUCACAUUUUUGAAGGAACACAUGAAAAUCCAGAGUUAAUAUGGAAUGACAGUUCCAGAGAGAAAGUGUCAACAACUGUUCGUGAAAUGAUGCUAGAGCACUUUAAACUACAGAGGGACAAUCCUGACAUUAACUGGAAGUUGCCUGAGGACUUUGCUGUGGUAUAUGGUGAAGCUGAGGGUGAACUUUCUGUAGGAGGCGUUUUCCUAAGAAUCUUUAUUGCCCAGCCGGCCUGGGUCCUACGGAAACCUAGAGAAUUUCUUAUUGCACUAUUAGAAAAAUUCACUGAACUACUGGAAAAGAACAACCCCCGUGGAGAAACAUUAGAAACGGUAACGACAGCAACCGUGUGCCUCUUUAGUGCUCAGCCUCAGCUAGCAGACCAAGUCCCCCCACUUGGCCACCUUCCCAAGAUUCUCCAGGCCAUGAAUCACAGAAAUAAUGCCAUCCCUAAAAGUGCCAUUCGUGUCAUACACAUACUUUCUGAUAAUGAGCUUUGUGUACGUUCAAUGGCUGCACUAGAGACUAUCUGUCCUCUGAUGAACGGAAUGAAGAAACGACCAGAUACUAUUGGAAUAGCUUGUGAAGCACUUAAUCGGAUGUUUCAGAAAGAACAGAAUGAUCUAGUGGUCCAAGCUUUGAAAGCAGAUUUGGUCCCAUAUCUCCUAAAGUUGCUUGAAGGUGUUGGCCUUGAGAAUCUGGAAAGCCCUUCAGCCACAAAAGCUCAGAUUGUUAAAGCCUUGAAAUCAAUGACUCGUAGUCUUCAGCAUGGAGAACAGGUGAAUGAAAUCUUGUCUCGUUCCUCUGUGUGGAGUGCCUUCAAAGAUCAGAAACAUGACUUGUUCAUUUCUGAGACCCAAACAGCAGGAUACCUCACAGGUAUCUCCUCUCCUUCCCUUCUCUCUGGUAGCAGUCCCCUUCAUCUCAGAAGUGGGCUUUAGAUCUACUUUGGCAGGCAGCUUGCUAAACUUCUCUCUAGCACUCUCUAAAGCAGGUCCUGGAGUUGCUGGCUACCUUACUGCAGGGCAGUCUUCGUCUGUUCUGCCCAGUGUCCCACCGCCAGUAGACCACGAAGCUGGUGAUACUGGCUAAAAGAUAUGAAACGCCUGUGCAAGAGACUCCAAGGCAGAUUGGCCAGUGAUGAAGGAGCCCAUUCCUUGGCUUCAAACCAUUGGAACGAGAUCUGCCUGCCUUUCCAAUUUCAUGACAGUGUUAUUCCUUUUUCUAUGAAUAUAUUUUUUUUAGAAAAAAGUUCACAAUUCUAUCACAUUGUAACAUAUGAAGAAAGUACUUUGUGGAUCAGCCUAAAGGGUACACAAGAGUUUUUUCUUGCUGUACGUAAGCACAUUUUGUUCCUUUAUAUUUUUGUUUACAAGACUGUGAAUCAAAACUCUUUUCCUAGUUUUUAUAUUUUAUGAACUAGCAUGACUGAAGUUGAACUGCAGUCUCGAAGAAUUGGGCUAAAUCACUUGAUCCUCUCAACUUUCGCUAGAAGAUUCCCCCUUCUAUUCUCCAAGUUGGACAUGAUCAUUCUCCUUGAACUUGACAGACUUGGUGUUUGCCUAUGUCCUCAAUCAUUAAUGUUACCUUCACGAGACCUAACAAGAUAUUUGUAUGUAUAACUGGCUUUACCAAAUUGAAAAAUUAAAAUGCAGCAAAAAACUAUUUAAAAAUGAUGUUAACAUGUUAUAUAAAAACAUAGUGUAAUUGUGAUAUGUUCUAUACAUUAUCCAGUAUAUAAAACUUUCUAUAUUGAAUGUACAUUACACAGAUCAUUCAUAUGUACAUAAAAUUUUAAAAAAUAAAGGGAACUGAAAGCCUUGUUGAUGAGAAAGACGUGAA